CAUCCCAAAAUUUCAAACCUUGACAUGUGCAUUGCAUCCAUAAGCACCAUGCCACAAUUGCAUGUUUGAAUUCAAAUUUGAAUCUAAAAAGGCUUUUAAAGGAUUCUAUUUCAAUUUAAACCUUAGGGUUCACACCCCAUUUGAGCUUUGGAUCUUCAAACCAAUAGGUUUUAUGUAUAAAAGGGGUUUAAUGCAUAUAUAAGCUAUCCCAUAAUUUUUGGAUAAUUAUUUGGAGUUGAAAACGUAUUUUAUUUAAAUAGAUAUAUGGCCCAAAAGGCAUUUAUAGGGCAAAUGUAUUUUUAUAUAUUUUAUUUUGAAGAGAAACUACUUCCAAAAGUUGUAUCAUGCUAGAACAUGAUUUUACAAAUUUUCUGGAAUUUAUUUGGACCAAUUUGGAGUUCAAACUCAAAAGAUAUCAAAGAAAUGAGAAAAACAGAAAAAUAAAAGGCUAAAAGAAAAAAAAAGGGAGAAACGGACCGGCCCGGCCACUUUGGGCCGAACAGGCCCAAUCCCUCGCGCGCGCCGCAGCCCUGCCGGCCCAGCCGCUCGCCCGGAUCCGCUGAAAGGUGGGGCCCACCUGUCAAGGUCUUCUUCCUCGUUUGGAAGGCGCCCGCGACGCGCGCCGCCUUCCUUCUUCGCCGCCGUGCGCCGUCUCCGCCGGAAUCUCCGCGCUCAGUCGAUAUCUCGCUGUCCCGAGCGCGUCCAUUUAAACCCC
rnacentral:lncRNA from 1 species